AUGAACGCUAGCUACAGGCUUAACACAUGCAAGUCGAGGGGCAGCAUGGUCUUAGCUUGCUAAGGCCGAUGGCGACCGGCGCACGGGUGAGUAGCACGUAUCCAACCUGCCGUCUACUCUUGGACAGCCUUCUGAAAGGAAGAUUAAUACAAGAUGGCAUCAUGAGUCCGCAUGUUCACAUGAUUAAAGGUAUUCCGGUAGACGAUGGGGAUGCGUUCCAUUAGAUAGUAGGCGGGGUAACGGCCCACCUAGUCUUCGAUGGAUAGGGGUUCUGAGAGGAAGGUCCCCCACAUUGGAACUGAGACACGGUCCAAACUCCUACGGGAGGCAGCAGUGAGGAAUAUUGGUCAAUGGGCGAGAGCCUGAACCAGCCAAGUAGCGUGAAGGAUGACUGCCCUAUGGGUUGUAAACUUCUUUUAUAAAGGAAUAAAGUCGGGUAUGGAUACCCGUUUGCAUGUACUUUAUGAAUAAGGAUCGGCUAACUCCGUGCCAGCAGCCGCGGUAAUACGGAGGAUCCGAGCGUUAUCCGGAUUUAUUGGGUUUAAAGGGAGCGUAGAUGGAUGUUUAAGUCAGUUGUGAAAGUUUGCGGCUCAACCGUAAAAUUGCAGUUGAUACUGGAUAUCUUGAGUGCAGUUGAGGCAGGCGGAAUUCGUGGUGUAGCGGUGAAAUGCUUAGAUAUCACGAAGAACUCCGAUUGCGAAGGCAGCCUGCUAAGCUGCAACUGACAUUGAGGCUCGAAAGUGUGGGUAUCAAACAGGAUUAGAUACCCUGGUAGUCCACACGGUAAACGAUGAAUACUCGCUGUUUGCGAUAUACUGCAAGCGGCCAAGCGAAAGCGUUAAGUAUUCCACCUGGGGAGUACGCCGGCAACGGUGAAACUCAAAGGAAUUGACGGGGGCCCGCACAAGCGGAGGAACAUGUGGUUUAAUUCGAUGAUACGCGAGGAACCUUACCCGGGCUUAAAUUGCAGAUGAAUUACGGUGAAAGCCGUAAGCCGCAAGGCAUCUGUGAAGGUGCUGCAUGGUUGUCGUCAGCUCGUGCCGUGAGGUGUCGGCUUAAGUGCCAUAACGAGCGCAACCCUUGUUGUCAGUUACUAACAGGUUCCGCUGAGGACUCUGACAAGACUGCCAUCGUAAGAUGUGAGGAAGGUGGGGAUGACGUCAAAUCAGCACGGCCCUUACGUCCGGGGCUACACACGUGUUACAAUGGGGGGUACAGAGGGCCGCUACCACGCGAGUGGAUGCCAAUCCCCAAAACCUCUCUCAGUUCGGACUGGAGUCUGCAACCCGACUCCACGAAGCUGGAUUCGCUAGUAAUCGCGCAUCAGCCACGGCGCGGUGAAUACGUUCCCGGGCCUUGUACACACCGCCCGUCAAGCCAUGGGAGCCGGGGGUACCUGAAGUGCGUAACCGCGAGGAGCGCCCUAGGGUAAAACUGGUGACUGGGGCU
rnacentral:rRNA from 1 species